rnacentral:rRNA from 1 species
AAAUUAGGUCUGGUUUAACUGGAAAAAUCCCAUUAAAUUUUUUAUGCCUUAAAAUAAAGUAUUAUUUAGCAGAAAAUCUAAUUUCCCUCAUAAUUAAAUGUUAUUAAGAUUUAAUUAGAAUUUCUAGCUAACUUUGUGCCAGCAGCAGCGGUUAUACAAAGAGAAAUUUUUCUUUAAUUAUUUUUUAAAAAGCUAAAAAGUUAAGUGUUCAUAUUAAAUAAGGUGAAAUUUUCUAUUUUUACUUUAGUAAAUAUUAAAAAUAAAUUCUGAAAUAAACCAGGAUUAGAUACCCUGUUAUUCAGAGUUAAAAAUUGUUAGUAGACAAUAAGUGUGAAAACAAAAAAUUAUGGCGGUGUCUUAAGCUUUUCAGAGGAAUUUGCUCUUUCAUGGAUAAAACACCAGAAUCUUACUAGAGCUAGUUAAAUCAGCUUGUAUACCACUAUUAAAGUAAUAAUUUAUUAUUAUAACUGUAAUUUUUAUUUAAAAAUAAAUUAAGUCAAGGUGCAGCAAAAGUUUUAGGCUGAAGUGAAUUACAUUCCUUUUUAGGAGAAAAAAAAUGAAAUAAAUUUUAUUUAGGAUUUGAAAGUAAAUUUUUAAUAAAAUGAUUAUUUGAAGAAAGUUCUAAGACAUGUACAUAUCGCCCGUCACUCUUUUAAAAAGAUAAGUCGUAACAAAGUUAAAGUACUGGAAAGUGCUUU